rnacentral:lncRNA from 1 species
GAAGAGGCGAAGAUGGAGGUGGUGGAGGAUCCCUGCAAAUGUGAGGCCAGGGUGGCCUUUCAGAAGCAGACUCAGGCGGCCAUCCAGCAGCUCACAGCCAAGAUAGCUGACGUGUCCGGAAGAAUAGAGCGUCUGGAGAGCGCGCUGGCUUGAGUUUGAAGCUUCACAUGGUAGCGUCCAUGGACCACUGCAUCAUGUGCUUCCUGUCUAUGACCACCAGCAGCAACUCAUUACCACAUUUCCAGCAAAUUCACCUUUAAAAAAAUUAUAUCAAUGUUAAACAAUUAGAAUAGAAUGUAUUAAACUCCAUGAAAUUUAUAAACGUGACUAACACUUAUUUACUUUGUGAAUCUAAUCUGAUAUAAAUGAAUUAUUUUUGCAUCGUUUUUGUACAAAAAUGUUAUAAAAUGUAUAUACGACAAUACAUGUCAAUUGAAAAAGUGCCUUUAUGUGGAGUAUUUUUGCCUAUUUACUAUACAGUAACAUGUUAGAUGUCACAUUCUAAUGCUUGAUAAAAAUGAGAAAUUAUUACAAUGUGUAUCCUUAAAU